rnacentral:lncRNA from 1 species
AUCUUCACAACAACCAUAUUAUCCCUUUUAUUAUUCCUAUAUUUCAGAGGAGAAGACUGGAGCCCAGAGAGGCUGAAAUGCUUUCCUGUGGUUACACAGGUCUCAGUGGUAGAGUUGUUUUCUAACUUCAGCAUAUCUGGCACCAAGCACAUAUUCUUCAUUACUAACCUGAGCUGGAAGAACUAGACAACCAGAUGCAGCUAAAAGAAGGAAAGGAAAGAACCAUUCUGAUCUGUUUCCAUGAUCCAUAAUAUACUUCAGAUAGAAACAAAGGUUCUCCUCUUCCCAAUGUCGGGAGUUUGUCUUGAGGCUGACUUUGAGUGCCCACUAUCUGGUAUCCCCUUGUCAGUAAAGGUCUUUGAUUCUGCAGUACACCCAGAGAUGGACCCCUUCUUGGCCCUUCAUCCCACUUGCUCCUGCUCAGCACUCCCUACUUACACACUGAGCCAAAGCCAGUGUUUUAGCCCAAGGUCUACACACUGUGAAGGCCUGGGCAAUACUUGGUGCUCUUGGACAUGGCUGGGGCCCAGAGCCGGGCCUCACACAGUGCUCUGAGAGCACCCUCCACUGCUCUCAUCUGCACAACACUCUCCCCUCCUAGUAAGGCCUUUCCUUCUCCAAAGCACAUGGCCCCUUCCCUUAUCUUUUCCUUUCCCUUCCCUUUCCUUUCCCAGGAACCCAGUCUUUGCCUAAGCCCCAACCCUUC